UUUUAAUGGGAAAACAGUAACAAGGGCUGGGACAAUUUUGAGAAAUGCAUUAUGAGAGAACAGUAAUAAAAGAUAUUCUUUGACUGCGUGAUUUGAUUAGCUACUUAAAAAGAGAUUCAAGAAGGCAUAAAUUUGCAGACCUUUAUAUGAUACUGCAGUAGUAGCAACAAACAAAAACUAAAGAUGAAUAAUACACUAAUUUCCUAUCACUUAUAAAUCAAUCUUUGUUCCUGUGCUCUUUGAAAGCAUUAUGACUUUAGUAACUGAAACUCUAACACAAUAAACUAAUUCUCUAGGCUUUUUGAUCAUAGUAACUGGUGGCUGGUUCCUGUGAGUGACCUAAGUGUGUCUGUAGGCCACUAUGGAUAAGAGUUGGCCAUAUACUAAAAUCUAGAGUCUUUCCAUUAACUGGUAUACAGGCAGGCUCAAUUACGAAAGGUGUGGGUGGUUGCCUCAUUUAUCAGGAGUGAAUUACUUUUUGAGGUGGCUGCAGUUCCCUCACACCCACUCUUUUUUUUUUCUUUUUUAAAGUCUGGCAAGGCUCACAUUUUAAGAACAAACAAGAAGCCCUG
rnacentral:lncRNA from 1 species